rnacentral:rRNA from 1 species
CAGCAGCCGCGGUAAUACAGAGGUGGCGAGCGUUGUUCGGAUUUACUGGGCGUAAAGGGUGCGUAGGUGGUUGUGUAUGUCAGAUGUGAAAGCCCACGGCUUAACCGUGGAAUUGCAUUUGAAACUGCCAAACUAGAGUACUGGAGGGGAGAAGGGAACACUUGGUGUAGCGGUGAAAUGCGUUGAUAUCUUGUAGAACAUCGGUGGCGAAGGCGGAUCUCUGGAACGUAACUGACGCUGAGGCGCGAAAGUCGGGGGAGCGAACAGGAUUAGAUACCCUGGUAGUCCCAGCCGUAAACGGUGCACACUUGGUGUGGGGGGAAUUGACCCCCUCCGUGCCGGAGCUAACGCGUUAAGUGUGCCGCCUGGGGAGUACGGUCGCAAGGCUAAAACUCAAAGAAAUUGACGGGGGCCCGCACAAGCGGAGGAGCAUGUGGCUUAAUUCGAUGCAACGCGAAGAACCUUACCAGGGCUUGACAUAUACCUGCACGCCCCCUGAAAGGGGGGAAGCCUUCGAGGGUGGUAUACAGGUGCUGCAUGGCUGUCGUCAGUUCGUGCCGUGAGGUGUUGGGUUAAGUCCCGCAACGAACGCAACCCUUGUGUUUAGUUGCCACUCCCGGUGUUAAGUCGGGAAGCACUCUAAACAGACUGCCCGUGCAAGCGGGAGGAAGGUGGGGAUGACGUCAAGUCAGUAUGGCCCUUACGCCCUGGGCUGCACACGUGCUACAAUGGCAGGGACAGUGGGAAGCAAUACCGCAAGGUGGAGCAAAUCCUCAAAACCUGCCUCAGUUCGGAUUGGAGUCUGCAACUCGACUCCAUGAAGUCGGAUUCGCUAGUAAUGGCGUAUCAGCUACGACGCCGUGAAUAUGUUCCCGGGCCUUGUACACACCGCCCGUCACAUCAUGAAAGCCGUCUGCACCCGAAGUCGCUAAGCCAAUCCCUUACGGGAAGGCAGGUGCCGAAGGUGUGGGUGGUGAUUGGGAUGAAGUCGUAACAAGGUAACCGUA